GAUGAACGCUGGCGGCGUGCCUAAUACAUGCAAGUCGAGCGAACAGACGAGGAGCUUGCUCCUCUGACGUUAGCGGCGGACGGGUGAGUAACACGUGGAUAACCUACCUAUAAGACUGGGAUAACUUCGGGAAACCGGAGCUAAUACCGGAUAAUAUAUUGAACCGCAUGGUUCAAUAGUGAAAGACGGUUUUGCUGUCACUUAUAGAUGGAUCCGCGCCGCAUUAGCUAGUUGGUAAGGUAACGGCUUACCAAGGCGACGAUGCGUAGCCGACCUGAGAGGGUGAUCGGCCACACUGGAACUGAGACACGGUCCAGACUCCUACGGGAGGCAGCAGUAGGGAAUCUUCCGCAAUGGGCGAAAGCCUGACGGAGCAACGCCGCGUGAGUGAUGAAGGUCUUCGGAUCGUAAAACUCUAUUAUUAGGGAAGAACAAAUGUGUAAGUAACUAUGCACGUCUUGACGGUACCUAAUCAGAAAGCCACGGCUAACUACGU
rnacentral:rRNA from 1 species